UAGGGAAUCUUCCGCAAUGGACGGAAGUCUGACGGAGCGACGCCGCGUGGAUGAAGAAGGCCGAAAGGUUGUAAAGUUCUUUUGCUAGGGGAGAAUAAGUGAGGGAGGGAAUGCCCUCAUGAUGACAAGGACUAGCGAAUAAGCCCCGGCCAACUACGUGCCAGCAGCCGCGGUAACACGUAGGGGGCGAGCGUUGUUCGGAAUUACUGGGCGUAAAGGGCAUGUAGGCGGCUUGGUAAGCCUGGCGUGAAAGACUGCAGCUUAACUGUAAGGAUGCGUUGGGAACUGCUUAGCUUGAGUUAUGGAGAGGGAGCUGGAAUUCCUGGUGUAGGGGUGAAGUCUGUAGAUAUCAGGAAGAACACCGAUGGCGAAGGCAAGCUUCUGGUCGAUAACUGACGCUGAGGAGCGAAAGUGUGGGGAUCAAACA
rnacentral:rRNA from 1 species